UAAUAAUAAAGCCAAAAAGUGUGUUACAAUAGAUAAUUUAAAUAAAACUGAAAUAUAUAAUUUGUGCACCCGUCCCCCUCUCCC
rnacentral:rRNA from 16 species